rnacentral:rRNA from 1 species
GACGAACGCUGGCGGCGUGCCUAACACAUGCAAGUCGAACGGAAAGGCCCUGCUUUUGUGGGGUGCUCGUGUGGCGAACGGGUGAGUAACACGUGAGUAACCUGUCCCUGUCUGUGUGAUAUCUUCAGGAAACUGGGGCUCAUACCGGAUAGGAGCUCUUGCUCCAUGGUGGGGGUUGGAAAGAUUCGGCGGUUGGGGCUGGUCUCGCGGCUCAUCAGCUCGUUGGUGGGGUAGUGGCUUACCAAGGUUUUGACGGGUAGCCGACCUGCGAGGGUGACCGGCCUCAUUAGGACUGAGAUACGGCCCAGACUCGUACGUGACGCAGCGGUGGGGAGUAUUACACAGUGGGCGGGAGCCAGAUGCGGCAACGCCGCGUGCGGGAUGACGGCCUUCGGGUUGUGAACCGAUGUCGCCUGAGCCGAGGCGAGAGUGACGGUAAUGGGUAAAGAAGCACCGGCUAACUACGUG